UGGGGAAUAUUGCACAAUGGGGGAAACCCUGAUGCAGCGACGCCGCGUGAGCGAAGAAGGCUUUCGAGUCGUAAAGCUCUGUCCUAUGAGAAGAUAAUGACGGUAUCAUAGGAGGAAGCCCUGGCUAAAUACGUGCCAGCAGCCGCGGUAAUACGUAUGGGGCGAGCGUUAUCCGGAUUUACUGGGCGUAAAGGGUGCGUAGGUGGUCUUUCAAGUCGGUGGUUAAAGGCUACGGCUCAACCGUAGUUAGCCUCCGAAACUGGAAGACUUGAGUGCAGGAGAGGAAAGUGGAAUUCCCAGUGUAGCGGUGAAAUGCGUAGAUAUUGGGAGGAACACCAGUAGCGAAGGCGGCUUUCUGGACUGCAACUGACACUGAGGCACGAAAGCGUGGGUAGCAAACAGG
rnacentral:rRNA from 1 species